ACUACAGGCCAUGAAUUCUAGAAAGAAAAAGCUUGAACUUAGAAGUAUGUUUUUACACAGAACCUCAAACAACAAUCAAGUCUGACUAACCCCUAGGUCCCCAUUUUAUGAUACCCUAAGCAGAGAACCCACUCAGGUCAUGAAGAACAAGAGCAACCCAAAUCCCUUGGACAAAAUUGUCUCUUGGCGCAAACUGAGCUGCUGGUUCAACCCACCUUCAGGAAAACGUUCUGGUUUCAUACUGCUGCUGGGAAGAUUAAUUUGAUGGCUUGUUAACAAUAUGAAUCUCUUUUCUUACUGUUCUGGAAAUCAGAAGUCUGAAACUGAGUUGGACACAGAAUAUUUUCUUUGGUAUCUUCAAUACCAGAAAACAGAAAAUGCUCAAGAAUUUAUGUUUAAUUGAUUUACUUAAUCUUGAAUUCUGUAUUCUUCAGCUUUUAUAGUUGCUGCCAUCAGUUUAUCAAGACCUGACAUCUGCAAACCUUGCCCUUAUUUUUCAUCCAAAAUUGAAUUCACUCAACAAAUAUUUGAACAUUUGAAUACCACACACCACAGGCUACAAAUAGACAAAAAAAUAAAGUUUCUGCCCUCAA